rnacentral:rRNA from 1 species
AAUAUUGCACAAUGUGCGAAAGCCUGAUGCAGCUACGCCGCGUGAGUGAUGAAGGCCNNNGGGUCNUCAAGCUCUUUCAUCAGNGAGNGUAAUGACAGUACCUGAAAAACAAGCCACUGCUAACUACGUGCCAGCAGCCGCGGUAAUACGUAGGUGGCGAGCGUUGUCCGGAAUUACUGGGCGUAAAGGAUGCGUAGGUGGAUACUUAAGUGGGAUGUGAAAUCCACGGGCUCAACCCGGGAACUGCAUUCCAAACUGGGUAUCUAGAGUGCAGGAGAGGAAAGCGGAAUUCCUAGUGUGGCGGUGAAAUGCGUAGAUAUGAGGAGGAACACCAGUGGCGAAGGCGGCUUUCUGGACUGUAACAGACACUGAGGCAUGAAAGCGUGGGUAGCAAACAGG